rnacentral:rRNA from 1 species
UUUAGAGUUUGAUCAUGGCUCAGAUUGAACGCUGGCGGCAGGCUUAACACAUGCAAGUCGAGCGGUAGCAUUUUUAGCUUGCUAAAAGAUGACGAGCGGCGGACGGGUGAGUAACGCGUAGGAAUCUACCCGGUAGUUGGGGAUAGCCCGGAGAAAUCCGGAUUAAUACCGAAUAAUCUCUACGGAGGAAAGGGGGCUUCGGCUCUCGCUACUGGAUGAGCCUGCGUCGGAUUAGCUAGUUGGUGGGGUAAAGGCCUACCAAGGCGACGAUCCGUAGCUGGUCUGAGAGGAUGAUCAGCCACACUGGGACUGAGACACGGCCCAGACUCCUACGGGAGGCAGCAGUGGGGAAUAUUGGACAAUGGGGGCAACCCUGAUCCAGCCAUGCCGCGUGUGUGAAGAAGGCCUUCGGGUUGUAAAGCACUUUCAGUGGGGAGGAAGGGGUGAUGGUUAAUACCCAUCAUCAUGACUCACCCACAGAAGAAGCACCGCA